GCGGGAAUAGCUCAGUUGGCUAGAGCAUCAGCCUUCCAAGCUGAGGGUCGCGGGUUCGAGUCNNGUUCAAAUCCCUUCGCCA
rnacentral:tRNA from 1 species